rnacentral:lncRNA from 1 species
UCUCGAUCUCGGCGGCUAGAGAGGGAGGGGCGAAGGCGGCGAAGGAGAUUGAGGUGGCUAGGAGGGAAGAAGCGGAUUUGAGGGAGAUGAUUUGAUGAGAUUUUGGGAUUUUGGAGCGGAGGAGGACGGAGAGGUUCGGGAGUUUAGGCUUGGAGGAAGAGGCGGUGGUUGUGGUUGGGAGGAGGGAGGCAGAUGGAGCGAAGAUGAAGGGCUUGGAAGUGGCCAUUAUCAUCUUCGCCAUGGCGGAUUCAGCGAUUGAAAGAGUUAGGCUGUGAGAAUUGGAGAAGAGGGGGAAUUUGGUGAGUGACAGAGUGGGUGGGUGGUCUGCUAAUUUCCCAGAUUUUGUGUGGAAAGGGUCGAAAGGCUUAUCUCCUCCUUCGCCACACGAUUUUGAUUUUG